rnacentral:rRNA from 1 species
UAAGACGAACCGUGCGAACGUUAUUCGGAAUCAUUGGGCUUAAAGGGCGCGUAGGCGGCCCGUUAAGUGGGGGGUGAAAGUCCGGCGGCUCAACCGCGGAAGCGCUUCCCAUACUGGCGGGCUACGAGGGAGGUAGGGGUCGGCGGAACUUCCGGUGGAGCGGUGAAAUGUGUUGAGAUCGGAAGGAACGCCAGUGGCGAAAGCGGCCGACUGGACCUCGCCUGACGCUGAGGCGCGAAAGCUAGGGGAGCAAACGGGAUUAGAUACCCCGGUAGUCCUAGCCGUAAACGAUGGGCACAGGGUAGGGAGCGUGCCGAUGACGCCCCCUGCCGCAGCGAAAGUGUUCAGUGCCCCGCCUGGGGAGUAUGGUCGCAAGGCUG